CGCCGUAUUCGUUAUAGGCUAGAUGUCUACCGUCUCUGAGGGUGACUCGAGGUCCGGUGACCGGCGGACCACCUGGUGAACCGCAGAGGUUAGGUGGCGGAGGAGUGGUGAUCUGAUAUGCAAAAGCUAUGAUUCCAAUAAAUGUCUUCGAGAUUGAGAUCAAGGGUUCAAAACUUGUCUUCAAUAUAAGUGGAACUAAUAGUAAUUUAGAGAAGAUUUGAUUGUUGAAGAGUUCUCAAGGGUGGAAGCUUUAUAAGGUAUAAAGGUAACUACAAGAAAUGAAUAUUCAGUCUCAUGGGAACAAGUUAAGUUGAUUUGGUGUUCAAAGUUGGUAAACUAUCUCAACUGUUGGUAUUAAAUAAUUCAGUGGUUGUCACUUGUCAAUGUUCACCAACCGUGAUAUUUGACUUUGAUUACUACAUUAAUACAAAUUUCCAAAUAAAUAAAGUUAAUUAGAACGUUAUUAUA